UACGUAGGGGGCAAGCGUUGUCCGGAUUUAUUGGGCGUAAAAGGCUUGUAGGUGGCCACGCCAAGUCGGAUGUGAAAUCUCCCGGCUCAACUGGGAGGGGUCAUUCGAUACUGGCGGGCUCGAGGCCGGUAGGGGGAAGUGGAAUUCCCGGUGUAGUGGUGAAAUGCGUAGAUAUCGGGAGGAACACCAGUGGCGAAGGCGACUACCUGGCCUGUUCUUGACGCUGAGGCGCGAAAGCUAGGGGAGCAAACGGG
rnacentral:rRNA from 1 species